GAUCGCUCAGUUGGUAGAGCAUGAGACUCUUAAUCUCAGGGUCGUGGGUUUGAGCAAAAUAUUCCAAUGAUACA